GCCCUCGCACCAGUAAGUAGUAAUAAACGCCGUUGUGGAGAAUAAGAGAGCAACGAGAUUUAAACCAACGGAGAGCAGCGCUCUGCAUUUUCGAGUUGUCUUCAUUGUCUAAAAGUCCGGAAUUAAACAGUGUAUCUGCAUUGUAACAUGGUCAAACCUCAGCUGUUCUGACUGCCAGGAGAAGAUCAUUCUACCACUUGAAAGGACGAAACAGACAGCAGACGUGGCUCAGAAGUGCUGGCUCAGAGAAUGGGAGGAACCAGACGUGCUGAAGAAUUGAAGUGUCUGGCUGGUCUGUAUGGUCUGAUGAUCUCCUCAAGAGUACCAAACCUGUGCUUGAGGGAGAGAGUGAGGAGGAAGAGCUACAACAAAAUAAUGGAUCACAAGGAUAUAAUGACUGGCUAGAGAGGGUUGGUCCCAAGGGUCAUGUGACUGAAAAUCUGUGGUCUGAAGUGAGUGUACUGCGGAGUGAAAUGGAAAUGGAUAUCUUCACGGCAUCGUGUAAAAACAACUCAUGGAUCGUAACAAAUGGGUAAUCUAUACUUUCCCAAGCAUUUUUUUUUUCUCAUAACAGUUUUUUAAAUUAAUAACUUAAUAUUUUAUACUAAGCUAUUCCAAGAUGGGAAACCUUCCCAUUCUUGUUAUUUAUGGGAACUGCAGUAUGUUCGGUGUGCAAAGAAAAAUACCCUGUUUCUUACUUUAUAGCAUAUAUUUUCAUAAUACAAUUCUAUAGUUCAGUGACUUUAACAUU